UUGUUAUUUUGUCUUAGUUAGGACAGCAAUGUUUAGUUAGGAAAGUCUGGUGUCUUUAGUCUCUUCCACACGGUGGAAGGAAGGUAUAAGGUGGAAGGUAUGCAGUUUAUUAUUAAUUCAACAACGGUAUCGGGUAUUGACAGAUACACAAAGCCCAGGCAUCGGUAUCGGGACUGAAAAAGUCGUAUUGGUGCAUUCUUAUUUCAAAUACC